ensembl:snoRNA SNORA72 Small nucleolar RNA SNORA72
UUGUAAUGGUCCUCCCAGGCUAAUCAUUCACUAUAUUAAGACCAGGGACAUGUCCCCAGACCUAGUCCUUUGUCUAGGUCUGGUUUGAUAAGUGCUGGUGAUCAAC